UACGGAGGGUCCAAGCGUUAUCCGGAAUCAUUGGGUUUAAAGGGUCCGUAGGCGGUUUUGUAAGUCAGUGGUGAAAGCCCAUCGCUCAACGGUGGAACGGCCAUUGAUACUGCAAGACUUGAAUUAUUGGGAAGUAACCAGAAUAUGUAGUGUAGCGGUGAAAUGCUUAGAGAUUACAUGGAAUACCAAUUGCGAAGGCAGGUUACUACCAAUAUAUUGACGCUGAUGGACGAAAGCGUGGGGAGCGAACAGG
rnacentral:rRNA from 1 species